GGACAAUUGUAGGAUCCUUGGCAGACAAACAGGGUCGAAAGCGGGCUUGUGUCACAUACUGCAUCACUUAUAUUUUGAGCUGUAUUACCAAACAUUCUCCUCAGUACAAAAUCUUGAUGGUGGGCCGUAUAUUAGGAGGAAUUGCCACUUCUCUCCUAUUCUCAUCCUUUGAGUCUUGGCUUGUUGCAGAGCAUAAUAAGAGGGCCUUUGAUCAACAAUGGCUAUCACUAACAUUCUCAAAAGCAAUAUUUC
rnacentral:misc_RNA from 1 species